GGGGCGGAGAGUGCAAUUGACAUGCAGUGGAUUGAGGCCACUGAGCAUCCUACAGCGCUGCUAGGACAAUGCUGCUCAACACCCCACAAUGCACAGGGCAGUCUCCACAACACAGACUGUGGUGUGUGUGUUUGGAGGGCGUGUCUCAAGGAAGAGAAGUAAAAUACAAUACAAAACAAAACCUCGUUGUUGAGUAUUAAGCAAUGCAAACAAAAGCAGGGAAGAGGCGAGGCACAGAAAACAAGAGAAGUCUGACGUGCAAACCAUGAUUCAUGUAGGUCACAGAAAUCAUUUACCUUCAAUUGUGUUUGGCAUAAUGUUGAACUAAAGUUGAAAUCAGUGCAUUCUGUACACAUUAGACUGUCUUCUGCUCCCUAGCACAGUGUCUACCAUCCAUGUGCAUCCUCUCUGCUCCAAGAAUAGACAGAGAACAAAUUCACACAGACUCAUUUGCACAGAAUCCCAUGUAUAGCUUGAGUCUUUCUGUUUCUUUCUUAAGGCCCUCAUCAAAGCCUGUGUGGAGUCAGUCUUUUUUCUCUACUGGACUAUAAGCUUUCACCAGAGUCCACCCCAAACUGUACAUGGUUCUAUGGGUUUUAUCAACAAUGUAAGACUGGAAACCUCUUGAAGGUAGAUGUUUCUUUGCAGGUCACUGCUGUCUGCCCACGUCAUUUUUUCAGGCACAGGGCAGAUGACUGACACUUUGAUGAAUUAGCGAAUGGAGCAGAACUCCUGGAGCCCAUGGUGGAAGCUUCAUUGCUCAUGAAUCACAAAACCAUUGGUUUUGAUAGAGAGAAAUCUAAAGGGAUGGACAGAACAGCAAGAACAGUUUCUGCCAAAUUCCAUGCUUUGGGGACAGAUUAUGUCAGUAGAAUCAAGGCAGUUUAAGGUUGUGCUUGAAGCCCAUCUUACUAAUUUUACUAAUAGGAAUGCUUACCUGCUUAUAAGUGUGGUGUGGCAAAGUUGUGUGAGAAGCUGGGAAAGACAUCCCUAGGACAAGUAAACACCUUGCCAAAUCCCAAAUAAAGGGAAGUGGUAGGACUGGAAAGGAAAUGGAUAUUCUGUGGAAGAAACACUUUGUCAUCCCAGACAGGGAUUUGUCAUAAUGAAGCCUUUCCUGGAAAGAAGUGUUAAAACUAGGGCAUGUAGAGGUAUGUCAUGGACCUGAGAAUCUCAAAAUUUGAAGAAUAAAGAACCAAGCAGGUACACGUGGCAAAAAAAAAAAAAAAA
rnacentral:lncRNA from 1 species